GAACACGCUGCUGAGCAGCGUCAGCGCCCGGCUGCUGCACCCGCUCAUCCUGCCUGCACACGCACAUGGGGGACACGCGUGUCGGCACGUGUGCACACACUGCUGCACGCCCAGACACGGUACUCGCCCGGGGACACGCGUGUGCAGCUGCUGCCACGUGCCCUUAUGGAGCUGCCUGGUGCUGCACACGCAACACACGUGUCCUGGCCCUUGUGCGCACGCUCUGGACAUGCAUUGCCCUUUGCACGCCCCGCACACGCGUGUGCCUUUGCACAGGUGGGUGCCUCAGGCCUGCACACGUGUGCGUGUCCCCUCGCCCUGCACACACGUGUCUCUGUGCGCACGUGUGUCCCCUCUUCCCCCCCGCACACACGUGCACCUCCUGCUGCACACGCGUGUCCUUCCCCCCGUACACACGGGUCCCUGUGCACAUACAUGUCCCUGUGCACACGCGUGUCCCCCUCGCUGUGCGCACCCCUCACCCUGUGCACACGCAUGUCCCCCCUGCACACACGCGUGUCCCCACCUCCCCUGCGCACACGUGUCCCUGUGCACAUGCGUGUCUGUCCUUUCCCCCACACGCAUCCCUGUGCACACGCGUCUCCAUGUGCACACACGUCCCCCCUGCACACAUGUGUCCCCACCUCACCCGUGCACACGUGUCCCUGUGCGCAUGUGUGUCCACCCUGCUUGUGCACAUGUGCCUCCCCCACACGUGUCCCUGUGCACACGCGUGUCCCCUGCACACGUGUCCCCCCCGCACACGCGUGUCCCUGUGCACAUGCACAUCCCUCCCCACACACGCGUGUCCUUCCCCCAUGUGUCCCCCCCGCACACGCGUGUCCCCACGCUCACCCGUCACGCGUGUCCCCGCUGCGGUGUCCCCGGGGCGCCCGGGACCCGGCUCGCCAUGGGGCAGCGGGACGGACGGACGGACAGACGGACGGAGACGGGGACGGAGCGACGGAGGGACGGGGACAGGGAGGGACGGACGGACGGACGGGGGGAAACGGGGACGGACAGAGGGAUGGAGGAAGGACGGAUGGAGGGAUGUAGGGACGGACGGAGGGAGGGAGGAGGAGGAGGAGGAGGAGGGAGGAAGGACGGAGGGAUGGAGGCAGCCGCGGGGCGGACGAGU
rnacentral:lncRNA from 1 species